GCUGGGCGUGGUGGCUCAUGCCUGUAAUCCCAGCACUCUGGGAGGCCGAGGUGGGUGGAUCACCUGAGGUCAGGAGUUCAAGACCAGCCUGGCCAACAUGGUGAAACCCCAUCUCUA
rnacentral:sRNA from 1 species